rnacentral:ncRNA from 1 species
UUAAGGUAGUUAUUUACAGGGUCCCUUAAAGGGUAACCUUUAAGUGCAAAUCGGGUGAAUUGCUGGAACUUCCUUAGAGCUAUCCUCCCUACAACGUAAUCUGAAAAGAUAAGCGUGAAAGGUUAAAAAGAGGUAGAUUGGAUAAUCAGCAGCCGAGCUCCUGCUUCCGAAAGGAUGGAGAAGGUUCAACGACUAGGAUGUACUACCUAAAGCUUUAGGCUAUGGUGAUGAGAUCCGUAGGGGUAAGAGGUUCCCCGAAGUACCCGACAAUCAAAAAAUAUUUUGGUUGAAGAUAUAGUCUGGCAUAUAUUGAAAGGUAUAU